rnacentral:rRNA from 1 species
AGCAGCCGCGGUAAUUCCAGCUCCAAUAGCGUAUAUUAAAGUUGUUGCAGUUAAAAAGCUCGUAGUUGAAUUUCGGGGUUAGUAGGUUGGUCAUGCCUCUGGUAUGUACUGGUCUCACUGAUUCCUCCUUCCUGAUGAAUCUUAAUGCCAUUAAUUUGGUGUUUUGGGGAAUUUGGACUGUUACUUUGAAAAAAUUAGAGUGUUUAAAGCAAGCUAACGCUUGAAUACAUUAGCAUGGAAUAAUGAAAUAGGACGUUCGAUCCUAUUUUGUUGGUUUCUAGGAUUGACGUAAUGAUUAAUAGGGAUAGUUGGGGGCAUUAGUAUUCAAUUGUCAGAGGUGAAAUUCUUGGAUUUAUUGAAGACUAACUACUGCGAAAGCAUUUGCCAAGGAUGUUUUCAUUAAUCAAGAACGAAAGUUAGGGGAUCGAAGACGAUCAGAUACCGUCGUAGUCUUAACCAUAAACUAUGCCGACUAGGGAUCGGAUGAUGUUAAUUUUUAAUGACUCAUUCGGCGCCUUAC